rnacentral:rRNA from 1 species
AUCUAUGGCCAUACCACCCUGAACGUGCCUGAUCUCGGAAGCUAAGCAGGGUCGGGUCUGGUUAGUGAUUAGAUGGGACAUAUGAAUUGACAUUACCUUUGAAG